CACUAGGAAACUCCAUAGCGGUAUCCGCAUAGCCCUUCACAGGGUCCUCGCGGUUUGGCCCAUUGGUCCGUCUAUUGCCCAUUAAUUGGAAACGAAGCUCUUUUGUGGAUCUCUUGCACUUAUCCGUAGGUUUCAGAGAACUGGACAAUCCAUGUCAAGGAGCACUGAAGCUGGAGGCCGGAGACUCGUGGCAGAGCAACUACUGAAAAACUCAAGGCUUAAGUCUGAUUUUAGCUCCUCAUCUUUCACACAUCACUGUGGUCACUAUGGAGACUCAUCACUUCUCUGCUGCGAGCGCUUCCCACCCGUGACCUGACCCAGAUACAUGGAGCAACAAUGACUUAUCUGUGCCAUCAUCAAAAGAAAGCAUCUGCCACAGGAGAAGGCAAGCUAUUGCAAGGAAUCUGCCCGUGUUCAGUGCACAUUUAUGUCCCAUGUCCUGAUCCUGACCCUUGACAGCCCCUUUGGAGCCAGAG